rnacentral:lncRNA from 1 species
AGAAGAGGAAUCUUGCUCCUGCCAUCAGGCAUUCUCUAGACAUCCACAAACAAAGUCUGAAAAGAGGUGAUUCUACCCUAAGCAUAUCAGUUCACUCUGCACUUCUGCUGAAAAAGCCCUGUAUGCUCCUUGAGGGAAAAUCGUUUCCAAGCACAUGGGCAUGACCUUGACCACUGCUAACGGUACUGUGAUAAACACUGGGAAAACAACAAUGGACAAGCAACACUACGUGACCAUGAUAAUCAUUAAGUUGAAAUCUAGUAAAGAAAAAAGAUGCAUAAAAUGGCAUUUCUAGUAUCGUAUAGUGAAAAAGCGGAUGAAUAGACACAAUGAGAACACAUUUGGAGUGUGGAGUCAAACCCAAAUUGGGAGGUCAGGAAAGGUUUCUGAGAGAUGUUGAGUCAUUAAUAAAAUGAGAAGUUAUCCUGACUCUGUGUGUGUGUGUGUGUGUGUGUGUGUGUGGUGUGUAUGUGUGUGGUAGUGGUAGUAGUAGUAGCAGUAGUAAUGAUGGUGGGGUAAGAUUGGGCAAAAAGUAUUCUACUGUGGAAUGAUGGAGAGGUGGUGCCAAAUGCAAAAGGCCACAGAUGGAAGACGGCAUGAAUUACGCAUGAAUUAUGCAAGAAGCAUACAAGAAAUGAGGCUGGGAAGUUUAAAAAGGCACCUCAUUUAAGGGUCUUUUGAUAUUAUUUUAACAAACUUGGAAGUUUCCUAAGGAAUUUGUUGCAGAAUUUUGAGCUGAAAGUGACAAAAUCAGAUUUGUACUUAAAGAAAAUCACUUUUGCAUCGGGUGUUGGACUGAAAUAGCGAAAGGCCAAGAGCACUGGGAUCAGUAUG